GAUGAAGAACGCAGCAAAAUGCGAUAAGUAAUGUGAAUUGCAGAAUUCAGUGAAUCAUCGAAUCUUUGAACGCACAUUGCGCCCGCCAGUAUUCUGGCGGGCAUGCCUGUUCGAGCGUCAUUCCAACCCUCAAGCCCUCGGGUUUGGUGUUGGGGAUCGGCGAGCCUUUCUGGCAAGCCGGCCCCGAAAUCUAGUGGCGGUCUCGCUGCAGCCUCCAUUGCGUAGUAGUAAAACCCUCGCAACUGGAACGCGGCGCGGCCAAGCCGUUAAACCCCCAACUUCUGAAUGUUGACCUCGGAUCAGGUAGGAAUACCCGCUGAACUUAAGCAUAUCAAUAAGCGGAGGA
rnacentral:misc_RNA from 1 species